rnacentral:rRNA from 1 species
UCGAGAAUCUUCCGCAAUGGACGAAAGUCUGACGGAGCGACGCCGCGUGCGGGAUGAAGGCCCUUGGGUUGUAAACCGCUGUCAGAGGGGAUGAAAUCAUGGUUGGCUAUCCUUCCAUGUUGACAGAGCCUCAGAGGAAGCACGGGCUAAGUACGUGCCAGCAGCCGCGGUAACACGUACUGUGCGAACGUUAUUCGGAAUCACUGGGCUUAAAGGGUACGUAGGCGGUUAAUCAAGUCAGGUGUGAAAUGCCUGAGCUCAACUGAGGCACUGCGCUUGAAACUGAUUAGCUAGAGUAUUCCAGGGGUGUGCGGAACUUAUGGUGGAGCGGUGAAAUGCGUUGAUAUCAUGAGGAACACCGGAGGCGAAGGCGGCACACUGGGGAAUUACUGACGCUGAGGUACGAAAGCUAGGGUAGCGAACGGG